GGGGGUAGGUGGAUGUGGUAGAGCACGUGCUUAGUAUGCAUGAGGUCCUGGGUUCAAUCCCCAGUGCCUCCA
rnacentral:tRNA from 1 species